GGUAGAAAUAGUCCACGUUGAACGAUAUGUUGUAGGUCCUCAUCUUACCGGUGAGAAGCCACGCGCCAGUUAGUGAAUGAACGUUCCGAUUGUCGGAUGGGUUGACGUCCACAGUUUCUCGCAUACACCCCCUAGUUGAAAGUGUGUGCGUAAUUGUGUAACGAUACCAGUCGAGUAUUUGUGUCCCCGAAUGUGUAUGGAGAAGUGUAUGUCAAAUACGUAUCUAACUCCCAUCAGCUGCAGAUGCAGCAUCACACCUGCAUCAGACCACCGCACCACGCUUCAUGCGACGGUCAUCAUUCCUACACAAGCGUUGCGUGUAUUUUCUAAGGCACUAGCACGAAAGUACACACACACAAAGGACACAGAUGCCGAUACCAUUGAAUAUAUGGAAAAGAUACAUCUCCAUUAGCCAAUGACACUGCUGAUGCGAUAGUGUUUAAUGCGUGAGCGUUCAUCGGUUGAUGUGUGUGUGCAAUCCUUCCGGGGUCAUCAAUCGUGACGUCAACGGGGUUGACCGGCGAACACGCCUCACUCGAGAACUGGCAAUAUUAGCGAGCGCACGUAAUAGAGCAUGCCGGGAAGCAAAUUGUAUGUUCAUAUUUAAAUUGUAAUUUACGUGAAUACAAAAUGGAUUGUGUGUCAUUUAGCCAAAAAGUAAAACGCGUGUAUUUCUCAGUGUCUAUCCAAGAAAGAAAAGGAACAUAGCAUGCACAAUAUCUAUUUAUAU